AGAAGCGGAGACGGCAAGCGGAGGAGCGUUUAUGCCGCACUGCUCACGACGCCGAUGAUUACGCUCGCGGAGACGCGACAUUAGGCACACCUGCACUGGAGACCCAAAAUGACACGAAAACCAAAAGGUGAUCGUCACUCGCCGUGAGUUGCCUCCAUAUAGUGAAAUGCGCAGCUCUGACCUGGAAACAUUUGUUUCAGCAGCGUCCGCACUUGGAGUGGCCCUGGAUUCCGUUUUUGAAAAUGAAAACGAUUGACGGUGGAUGAACAGUUAAUAUUGCAAUAACAGUGUUCACCACUAGAUGGCGGGACAUCGCUCAAGAGCAACUCCAAUAGAGUUGUUUAACCCUUUUAUGCACCCUGUAACUUGAUAACACAAUAAAGCUGUCCACUGUAGUAGCCGUUGUCCCCGAAAAAGUUAAAACCGUGAUUGAAAACGCAAAAGUCUGGCUCCUCCCCAUCUUGACGAUUCUGUUUGAAAACAAUCUGUGAGCUUGAAUGUUCCAAACGGAUGACGCGGGUUAUUUUGUGUACAUGACACGAAAUCCCUUAUAUAAAAUGUUAUCACGGCUGUGCUCGGCCAACGUUGCCGAGACAAAAUGCCUUUAAAAUCACUUUCAGAUUACGCCGAAUCCAAUUUGGGUGUAGGAGUGUGACAUGUAGGCGGCUUGGACAACAGGGUGAUUAUAGAAGAAGAAAAGCAAGCGGAAGUGUGCGCGGGCAAAGGGGAACAGAGGAUAGAAGAGGCGGAUUUAAACAAAAAAAAAAAAGUAAAAAGUCAUUGGUUUCAUGUGACAGGUUGAGCGAAUAGAGCAGGUGGGAGGCGGGGCAAAUAAAUGAACCACCACCUCGGCGGCGUGGAUGUUGUGGCAUUUGAAGUGAUUCAAACACGGCGAGCCGGCAUCUUGAUUAAUGAUCGCUGAGAUGUGCUCACAACGUACGCAGCCCGCAACAAAAA